rnacentral:rRNA from 1 species
GACGAACGCUGGCGGCGUGCUUAACACAUGCAAGUCGAGCGGUAAGGCCCUUUCGGGGGUACACGAGCGGCGAACGGGUGAGUAACACGUGGGUGACCUGCCCUCAGCUCUGGGAUAAGCCUGGGAAACCGGGUCUAAUACCGGAUAUGACUCCAUGACGCAUGUUGUGGGGUGGAAAGCCUUGUGCGGCUGAGGAUGGGCCCGCGGCCUAUCAGCUUGUUGGUGGGGUGAUGGCCUACCAAGGCGACGACGGGUAGCCGGCCUGAGAGGGCGACCGGCCACACUGGGACUGAGACACGGCCCAGACUCCUACGGGAGGCAGCAGUGGGGAAUUUUGGGCAAUGGGCGAAAGCCUGACCCAGCAACGCCGCGUGAAGGAUGAAAUCCCUCGGGAUGUAAACUUCGCAAGAACAGGAAGAAUAAGUAGGGGACAAUACCCCCUAUGAUGACGGUACUGUUUGUAAGCUCCGGCUAACUCCGUGCCAGCAGCCGCAGUAAU